UGGGGAAUAUUGGACAAUGGGCGAAAGCCUGAUCCAGCCAUGCCGCGUGUGUGAAGAAGGUCUUCGGAUUGUAAAGCACUUUAAGUUGGGAGGAAGGGCGGUAAGUUAAUACCUUGCUGUUUUGACGUUACCGACAGAAUAAGCACCGGCUAACUCUGUGCCAGCAGCCGCGGUAAUACAGAGGGUGCAAGCGUUAAUCGGAAUUACUGGGCGUAAAGCGCGCGUAGGUGGUUUGUUAAGUUGGAUGUGAAAGCCCCGGGCUCAACCUGGGAACUGCAUCCAAAACUGGCAAGCUAGAGUACGGUAGAGGGUGGUGGAAUUUCCUGUGUAGCGGUGAAAUGCGUAGAUAUAGGAAGGAACACCAGUGGCGAAGGCGACCACCUGGACUGAUACUGACACUGAGGUGCGAAAGCGUGGGGAGCAAACAGGAUUAGAUACCCCCGUAGUCCCUGAGCGGGCUGGCAAGGCGCAU
rnacentral:rRNA from 1 species